CUCCUCGUCCUUUUUUCCCAUCAUCUGGCAAGGUCUUCUCAAGCCAGAGGCACAUUCCCAGGUCCACUGAGGCCCCUGCCCCACCAUGUCCCGCCACUUACCAGCUCACUUGAAAAGGGCACAGAGCUGCGACCACGCUGCUCCAACUCCUCCUGAAGCUGGGGCAAGACUGGCGGUCGGGGGCCCCAAGGGGAAAGGAAGUGGCCCUGGCUCCACCCACCCCCCACCAGCAUCCUGCCCCACCCGCCCCACUCCUACAUUGCCGUGUGAUGAGAGAGGCAUCACUCACUUUUUCAGGGUCCCAGGUGAUGACAGGGGCUCUGGGGUCUCAGCUGCAGCAGGUGGGGAUGGUGGGCGGUUUCUGGAAUGGGGAUUCCUGGAUCUUCGCUGGAAAAUGGGAUGGCAAGCUGGUGACUCUGGAACAGGUGCUCGGUUCUUCCGAGGAAGCUAAGGUCGUUUUGGGGUGAGGCCCUCACUUCAUCCGGCGACUAGCACCGCACCCGGCAGCCCCCACCUAGCACUCGCCUGCACCAUGGCCUCCGCCUCGGAGCUCGCUUGCAUCUACUCUGCCCUCAUUCUGCACGACGAUGAGGUGACGGUCACGGAGGAUAAGAUCAAUGCCCUCAUUAAAGCAGCCGGUGUAAAUGUUGAGCUUUUCUGGCCAGGUUUGUUUGCAAAGGCUUUGGCCAAUGUCAACAUCGGGAGCCUCAUCUGCAACGUGGGGGCUGGUGGACCUGCCCCGGCAGCUGGUGCUGCACCAGCAGGAGGUCCUGCCCCAGCCACCGCUGCUGCCCCAGCUGAGGAGAAGAAAGUAGAAGCAAAGAAAGAAGAAUCUGAAGAGUCUGAUGAUGACAUGGGCUUUGGUCUUUUUGACUAAACCUCUUUAGUAACACAUUCAAUAAAAAGCUGAGCUGUUAAAAAAAAAAAGAAAGAAAACAAACUUAUGGUUAUCAAAGGUGAAAGGGAUGGGGGAGGGAUAAAUUAGGAAUUUGGGAUUAACAGAUACACAUCACUAUAUAUACACAAUAGAUAAAUAACAAAGACCUAUUUAUAGCACAGGGAAACUAUAUUUAAUAUCUUAUCAUAACCUAUACUGGAAAAUAAUCUGAAAAAGUAUAUAUUAUAU
rnacentral:lncRNA from 1 species